rnacentral:rRNA from 1 species
ACGAACGCUGGCGGCGUGCUUCACACAUGCAAGUCGAACGGAAAGGCCCUGCUUUUGUGGGGUGCUCGAGUGGCGAACGGGUGAGUAACACGUGAGUAACCUGCCCUUGACUUUGGGAUAACUUCAGGAAACUGGGGCGAAUACCGGAUAGGAGCUCCUGCUGCAUGGUGGGGGUUGGAAAGUUUCGGCGGUUGGGGAUGGACUCGCGGCUUAUCAGCUUGUUGGUGGGGUAGUGGCGUACCAAGGCUUUGACGGGUAGCCGGCCUGAGAGGGUAACCGGCCCCAUUGGGACUGAGAUACGGCCCAGACUCCUCCGGGAGGCAGCAGUGGGGAAUAUUGCACAAUGGGCGGAAGCCUGAUGCAGCAACGCCGCGUGCGGGAUGACGGCCUUCGGGUUGUAAACCGCUUUCGCCUGUGACGAAGCGUGAGUGACGGUAAUGGGUAAAGAAGCACCGGCUAACUACGUG